UACGAAGGGUGCUAGCGUUGUUCGGAAUCACUGGGCGUAAAGCGCGCGUAGGCGGCCAACUAAGUCAUACGUGAAAUCCCUCGGCUUAACCGGGGAACUGCGUCUGAUACUGGAUGGCUUGAGUGCUGGAGAGGGUCGCGGAAUUCCCGAAGUAGAGGUGAAAUUCGUAGAUAUCGGGAGGAACACCGGUGGCGAAGGCGGCGACCUGGACAGUAACUGACGCUGAGACGCGAAAGCGUGGGUAGCAAACAGG
rnacentral:rRNA from 1 species